UACACAUUUGAGUAUAUAUUUCCAUCCCCUCGAGCUCUCCUCAUUCGUUCCCGCCAGCCGUGACCUCAGAGUGACAUAGUGCCGUGAUCUACGUGUCCAGGAAUUCUCUGAAGCUGCACCAUGAAGCUGUUUGUCUGCAUGAUGCUGGUGACGAUGGUUGUCAUGGCAACGCUGAUCGACGACUCCGAGGGAUGGAGGCGUCGGCGCAGGCGCAGAAGGGGUCGUCUGGAUGUCGAUGCAGAUGCUGACUCAGAGUUGAGGGAGGUUGUGGAAGAGGCGAGGUCGCUCCUGGAGGAACUUGAUGAGGCCAGCGAUCAACAGUGGAAUACACAAGGACUAGAGAACAUGGAAGUGGAGGACACACUCGAAGGGGCCCCCGGAGACGCUAGGAAACGGUGACCUGCCAGACCGGAACAACUGAAAUUUUACAACGCCAAAGGAGCAGGUUGAAAACCAAAAUGUCGAUGUCUGUUUCGCCUAGUGUUCUUCCUUUGACGUAACAUGUAUUGUUAUUUAGCUUAAACAACUGAAUGGUAAAACAACUUGGGUUGUUUUAUCGGAAUUUUGAUUAUUUCAGUUGACUUACAACAAGUCAUUUUUGUAACAAGAAUACAAUGUCAGUGUAUAGAUGAUAUUAAUGUAUAAGUGUACAGCAUUUUGUGAACUUUCUAAAUGUUUGUUCAAUAAAAUUUAUUGAAACAUGA